rnacentral:lncRNA from 1 species
AAACUAUUCAAGUGAGGAUGGAUAACAUGGAAGCUCGCAUGAACAAAAGGCUAGAUUCACUAUCUCUUUCUGAUCUUACCAAGCUCAUGGCUGAAUUUGAGCAGGCAAAGGCUAACAUAGCUGAGUUAAAGAAGAAACAAUUACAACCGUUUGUAUUUCAUCUGACUCUGGCAGAAAGUCAUGAUGAUGAGGUAUUUUGGAUCUGAUGGGUAGACUAGUAAAGGAUAAAAGCAAGCAGCAAAUGGAUGAA